rnacentral:tRNA from 1 species
AUUUAAGUAGUUUAAAUAAAAUAUUGGUCUGUGAAUCCAAAGAUGUAUAAAGUUACCUUAAGUA